UACGAAGGGUGCAAGCGUUACUCGGAAUUACUGGGCGUAAAGCGUGCGUAGGUGGUUUUUUAAGUCAGUGGUGAAAUACAGCCGCUUAACGGUUGAGGUGCCAUUGAUACUGGGAAACUUGAGUACAGACGAGGUAGGCGGAAUUGACGGUGUAGCGGUGAAAUGCAUAGAUAUCGUCAAGAACACCGAUAGCGAAGGCAGCUUACUAGACUGUAACUGACGCUGAUGCACGAAAGUGUGGGGAUCAAACAGG
rnacentral:rRNA from 1 species